CUCUGCUAAACCGUAAGGUGAUGUAUAGGGGCUGACGCCUGCCCGGUGCUGGAAGGUUAAGAGGAGUGGUUAGCUUCUGCGAAGCUACGAAUCGAAGCCCCAGUAAACGGCGGCCGUAACUAUAACGGUCCUAAGGUAGCGAAAUUCCUUGUCGGGUAAGUUCCGACCCGCACGAAAGGCGUAACGAUUUGGGCACUGUCUCAACGAGAGACUCGGUGAAAUCAUAGUACCUGUGAAGAUGCAGGUUACCCGCGACAGGACGGAAAGACCCCGUGGAGCUUUACUGUAGCCUGAUAUUGAAAUUCGGCACAGCUUGUACAGGAUAGGUAGGAGCCUUUGAAACGUGAGCGCUAGCUUACGUGGAGGCGCUGGUGGGAUACUACCCUAGCUGUGUUGGCUUUCUAACCCGCACCACUUAUCGUGGUGGGAGACAGUGUCAGGCGGGCAGUUUGACUGGGGCGGUCGCC
rnacentral:rRNA from 1 species